rnacentral:lncRNA from 1 species
UUCCGAGCACCUAUGUAGGAUCGAAUCGCUUCUCCGUCACGCCUUUGGUUUUAUACCCGGCGGCACGCACGCGAUCGAUCGGCAAGGCCGGCGGCCGGGACUCCGAUCCGGCUCGUAUACGGCUUCUGCGUAGAAAUGGAAACCCUCGCACACGCAUGCCAUAUUUACACUGCAAUACCAUACAUGCCAAACUACUACAUAUAUACUCACAUGCUAGCAAUAAUUAUUUCCAAAUAUAUGGUCAGUACAGGAAACCAACCUUUGGACACAACACGACUUGAUCGGCCACAACACACACCGUCAGCCUACGCGAAACCUUCCUUGUAUACGGUUCCAUUCCCAUAUAUACCGUGUAUAUUCAUAUGGCGAUCGGCAAUGGAGUAGUGCAAUACCGCUAGCUCUUUUCUGCCGCCUCCAGCGCACUGGUCGACAAGUAGUUGGGCCAGAAACGGAGUAAGCACAAGAACCAAAGCGAGCCCAAAUAGUUCUUUUUUUGUUAGGAAGGGAGCCCCAAACAGUCAGAAGAGAUCAGGAUGGGGAAAAAAGCUGUCGGAGCUCUUCAGCCUGAACCAAGCCCAAGUAGUUUGCGAUGGCCCAAGCCCAGGUCGGGAUGGGCAGGGAGACGCAUGAUGUGCACCCUGCAACUGCAAUCCUGCACACACAACAGCCAAAACAGUGACCCUAAAAAAGCAGUCAAACAGUGAUCUGAAUCCUGACGUCCUGUAGUGGUAGCUAGUGGUAGCUAGUGCUAGCUAGUGUUGCCCUGUUGCAAUCUUGAAAAGGAUCAGACAUACAGUUUGGAAAAAGUUAGUUUCACUGUUUCAGAGCUCCGAAGAUAAGCACAUGGCAUCUUGGCAUUCACCGUGGAGAGCAGGGCACCAGUCCUAUUGGAAAUACAGCAAAAGCUGCUGGUUUUUUUUUUUUUUUGCUUUUCAACUUGAACCGAUCAUCAUCACCGGGGAAAAUCACGGUGGGGUCAUGGCCGUGAGCCCGUGACCAUCCUCCUGAACCGGAGCCGCCGGCCGGAUCAUCGCGGCGAGAUAGGCCUGACGUCGGAGUCAUCGUCCGUUUUCACCACCUCGCCCGUCCGUCCCAUCUGCAUCUGCUGAUGAUGCGUGUGGCUAUCGCAUAGACUAUCGAUUACCCUUCUACCUUAUCCCGAACAGGAGUUGAUGCAUGCGCACCGAUCAACUGCCUGCCCUGUCAUGCAGUGUCGUAUCCAAGGAAAGCCCGGAACCGAUACCGCUCGCUAGUCAUCGCGGGUCGAUCGCUUCCUGAUUGAUGGCAUGGCGUCGUUCCUGACUCAAUCCGCGACAAUAACCGAUGGAAGAUGCUUAUCCUUAGGUCCCUACUUAUACUCCCGUUCAGGUUCACACGCGAU